GAUGUUGGGGGCCAAAGAACUAUAAGAUCGUAUUGGAGGAAUUACUUUGAGCAAACUGAUGGCUUAGUUUGGGUAGUUGACAGUUCAGAUCUUAGAAGGUUAAAUGAUUGCAAAAUGGAACUUGAUAAUCUUUUGAAGGAAGAGAGGCUGUCUGGAGCAUCCUUGCUAAUACUAGCAAAUAAGCAAGACCUAAAAGGUGCUCUUACUCAAGAGGAAAUUGCUAAGGUAUUAAAUCUGGAGAAUAUGGACAAAACGCGACAUUGGAAAAUCAUGGGCUGUAGUGC
rnacentral:misc_RNA from 1 species